GCAGGUAUCGUAUAGUGGCUAUUAUGCGACCUUGCCAAGGUCGAGAGACGGGUUCAAUUCCCGUUACCUGCUCCA
rnacentral:tRNA from 1 species